rnacentral:rRNA from 1 species
UUCAAAUGAAUUGAUGGGGGCCCGCACAAGCGGUGGAGCAUGUGGUUUAAUUCGAUACAACGCGAAGAACCUUACCUACUCUUGACAUCCAGAGAACUUAGCAGAGAUGCUUUGGUGCCUUCGGGAACUCUGAGUCACAGGUGCUGCAUGGCUGUGCUCAGCUCGUGUUGCGAAAUGUUGGGUUAAGUCCCGCAACGAGCGCAACCCUUAUCCUUUGUUGCCAGCGCGUGAUGGCGGGAACUCAAAGGAGACUGCCGGUGAUAAACCGGAGGAAGGUGGGGAUGACGUCAAGUCAUCAUGGCCCUUCAGAGUAGGGCUACACACGUGCUACAAUGGCGUAUACAAAGGGAAGCGACCCUGCGAAGGCAAGCGGAACUCAUAAAGUACGUCGUAGUCCGGAUUGGAGUCUGCAACUCGACUCCAUGAAGUCGGAAUCGCUAGUAAUCGUAGAUCAGAAUGCUACGGUGAAUACGUU